UCAGAGAUAAAAGAAGCCACUUGAUACUCAUUGGAAGAUUAAGAAGGUUAUUAAAACACAACACCCUGAUUCAAGCAUGGAAGGAAGUUCACAGUUUGUGAAUCCAUUGUUAGUGAAUGCAGGUUUGGGAAUUCCAAGUGAUUUAGGAGAAGAAAGUGUUGGUAGCAACAACCUAGAUGGGGGGCAAUGUAAUGGAGAUGUCGAUGGAAAUGCAUACUUAGAUGA
rnacentral:lncRNA from 1 species